GGAGAGCACGCCCAACCAAACUCCUACAGAAAACACGGAUCUUUUAAAGUUUGUGGGUUUUUUUCUGUCGAAGUGUCACACUAACUGAAUAUAACAUGAUUGCUGCUAUUUAUUCGGCAUGGAGAACUUACAGAACAUCACCCUAACUUACAUGUGUUAAGGCCUGACCUUACUAAGUGAAGUGUAUGGAAACUUGUUUCUGCCUCAAGAAAAAUAAUUCCCAGUUGCAGCAGAUCCUCACCCUUUCCUGAGCUUGGUUCUCCCUGCAAUUUUUUCCUGUUAAAAAAAGGGAGCUCUUACUCCCCACUGUUGCCAAGUGCUCUUCAUAGGGGAUCAUCUGAUCUUUGGGGUUCUCUAUCCAUCCAUCCAUCCAUCCUGGACCCUAUCCCAGCUGUCAAUUAAUGAGCCAAGUCAAAGAUACAGCAACUUUUAAAGAAUUCCCCAUAAGUACAAUGGGCAUUGAACCUCUCCUCUUACACCAGCUCCCAGUUUGGGUUCAGGAGGCAGACACCCGUUCUACUUUUAAGAUUAGGCUUCAAUCUUUCCUUUUUGAUAAAGCUUAAUUAGGGCUGGAUUUGGUGACCCUGAACCAGCUCUUAGUUAUGCUGCUAAAGGCUCAGGUUGCUGGGGUACUUCCCAUCAUGCACUGAACAUUUCUUGAGCACUCUCCUCUUUUCACUCCCCAUGUGUUUAUAUGCCACUAUUACAUGCCAUUAACUCUUGUCUUCUCUUUCCCUGUUUGCUGUGUGUGGUCUCUCUAUGUUCCUCUCUUUCUCCUCACACCCCAGCCAGUCCUGGCAUGUGACUGCCCC